rnacentral:rRNA from 1 species
GAUGAACGCUGGCGGCGUGCCUAAUACAUGCAAGUCGAGCGAACGGACGAGAAGCUUGCUUUUCUGAUGUUAGCGGCGGACGGGUGAGUAACACGUGGAUAACCUACCUAUAAGACUGGGAUAACUUCGGGAAACCGGAGCUAAUACCGGAUAAUAUUUUGAACCGCAUGGUUCAAAAGUGAAAGACGGUCUUGCUGUCACUUAUAGAUGGAUCCGCGCUGCAUUAGCUAGUUGGUAAGGUAACGGCUUACCAAGGCAACGAUGCAUAGCCGACCUGAGAGGGUGAUCGGCCACACUGGAACUGAGACACGGUCCAGACUCCUACGGGAGGCAGCAGUAGGGAAUCUUCCGCAAUGGGCGAAAGCCUGACGGAGCAACGCCGCGUGAGUGAUGAAGGUCUUCGGAUCGUAAAACUCUGUUAUUAGGGAAGAACAUAUGUGUAAGUAACUGUGCACAUCUUGACGGUACCUAAUCAGAAAGCCACGGCUAACUACGUGCCAGCAGCCGCGGUAAUACGUAGGUGGCAAGCGUUAUCCGGAAUUAUUGGGCGUAAAGCGCGCGUAGGCGGUUUUUUAAGUCUGAUGUGAAAGCCCACGGCUCAACCGUGGAGGGUCAUUGGAAACUGGAAAACUUGAGUGCAGAAGAGGAAAGUGGAAUUCCAUGUGUAGCGGUGAAAUGCGCAGAGAUAUGGAGGAACACCAGUGGCGAAGGCGACUUUCUGGUCUGUAACUGACGCUGAUGUGCGAAAGCGUGGGGAUCAAACAGGAUUAGAUACCCUGGUAGUCCACGCCGUAAACGAUGAGUGCUAAGUGUUAGGGGGUUUCCGCCCCUUAGUGCUGCAGCUAACGCAUUAAGCACUCCGCCUGGGGAGUACGACCGCAAGGUUGAAACUCAAAGGAAUUGACGGGGACCCGCACAAGCGGUGGAGCAUGUGGUUUAAUUCGAAGCAACGCGAAGAACCUUACCAAAUCUUGACAUCCUUUGACAACUCUAGAGAUAGAGCCUUCCCCUUCGGGGGACAAAGUGACAGGUGGUGCAUGGUUGUCGUCAGCUCGUGUCGUGAGAUGUUGGGUUAAGUCCCGCAACGAGCGCAACCCUUAAGCUUAGUUGCCAUCAUUAAGUUGGGCACUCUAAGUUGACUGCCGGUGACAAACCGGAGGAAGGUGGGGAUGACGUCAAAUCAUCAUGCCCCUUAUGAUUUGGGCUACACACGUGCUACAAUGGACAAUACAAAGGGCAGCGAAACCGCGAGGUCAAGCAAAUCCCAUAAAGUUGUUCUCAGUUCGGAUUGUAGUCUGCAACUCGACUACAUGAAGCUGGAAUCACUAGUAAUCGUAGAUCAGCAUGCUACGGUGAAUACGUUCCCGGGUCU